UGCACUCACUACUGUAAGUCGCUCUGGAUAAGAGUGUCUACUAAAUGCCUAGAA
rfam:Salmo salar isolate Sally breed double haploid chromosome ssa24, whole genome shotgun sequence.